rfam:Triticum urartu cultivar G1812 contig700626, whole genome shotgun sequence.
AUCUUUGCGCUUGGGGCAAUGACGCAGCUAGUGAGGUAAUACCGAGGCGCGUCAAUUGCUGGUUGAAAACUAUUUCCAAACCCCCUUUUUGGCCCUCAUGGGUCAUUGAGAAUUUCUGAAAGGGCUCCCUCUCCUCCUCGGAGAGGGCAAGGCC